UAAUGUGAUUAUUCAAGGGUUUCUUAGGCACAAGCAUGUACCAAGGGCAAGUCAACUUAUUGAUGAAAUGUUUAGCAAGGGAUUUUCUGCAGAUGCCACGACUGCUGAAUUGGUAGCACAUUUAUUGCACAAUGACAGUCUCAUUCUAAGUAAACUAGGAAAUCAUUAUGAAAAUUCUAAAGGUGCAAAUGUGAAGUGAGCUUUUAAAUAUCAACACUUGAUCAACAGAUGCAGGAGAUUUUCGUUGUGUUGUGUGUUAUUGGUACUUCACUGUAUUUCAAUAAUAGUCCAAUUACAAUGUUGCUAGUUGGAAGCUUCUUCUUUAUACAAGAAACUAUUUAGAAUUAGUACUCAACUCUUGUUUUGAGGUUUUACAUGCGCUGUAACAUUAAUGAAUAUGUUUUAAUACUGCAUUGUGCUGAAUGUGUAAAUUAACUUCAAUUUUCUAUAUGCAAUGACAAAAUGGUACGUAUUCUCUUAUA
rnacentral:misc_RNA from 1 species